GACGAACGCUGGCGGCGUGCUUAACACAUGCAAGUCGAACGGAAAGGCCCUGCUUUUGUGGGGUGCUCGAGUGGCGAACGGGUGAGUAACACGUGAGUAACCUGCCCUUGACUUUGGGAUAAAUUCAGGAAACUGGGGCUAAUACCGGAUAGGAGCUCCUGCUGCAUGGUGGGGGUUGGAAAGUUUCGGCGGUUGGGGAUGGACUCGCGGCUUAUCAGCUUGUUGGUGGGGUAGUGGCUUACCAAGGCUUUGACGGGUAGCCGGCCUGAGAGGGUGACCGGCGACAUUGGGACUGAGAUACGGCGCAGACUGCUACGGGAGGCAGCAGUGGGGAAUAUUGCACAAUGGGCGGAAGCCUGAUGCAGCAACGCCGCGUGCGGGAUGGCGGCCUUCGGGUUGUAAACCGCUUUCGCCUGUGACGAAGCGGGAGUGACGGUAAUGGGUAAAGAAGCACCGGCUAACUACGUG
rnacentral:rRNA from 1 species